AUUGAACGCUGGCGGCAGGCCUAACACAUGCAAGUCGAACGAGUGGCGGACGGGUGAGUAAUGUCUGGGAAACUGCCUGAUGUAGGGGGAUAACUACUGGAAACGGUAGCUAAUACCGCAUACCAUCAGAUGUGCCCAGAUGGGAUUAGCGUGUUGGUGGGGGAACGGCUCACCAAGGCGACGCUCCCUAGCUGGUCUGAGAGGAUUACCAGCCACAUUGGAACUGAGACACGGUCCAGACUCCGACGGGAGGCAGCAGUGGGGAAUAUUGCACAAUGGGCGCAAGCCUGAUGCAGCAAUGCCGCGUGUAUGAAGAAGGCCUUCGGGUUGUAAAGUACUUUCAGCGGGGAGGCGUUACCCGCAGAAGAAGCACCGGCUAACUCCGUGCCAGCCGCCGCGGUAAUGC
rnacentral:rRNA from 1 species